GCUGGGUGUAGUGGCGCACACCUGUAGUCCCAACUACUCAGGGACCUGAGACGGGAGGAUCACUUGAGCCCAGGAGGUCGAGGCUGCAGUGAGCUAUGAUCAUGUCAUUGCACUCCAGCCUGGGUGACAAAGUGAGACCCUGUCUCUA
rnacentral:SRP_RNA from 1 species